AAGGGCACCACAAGAACGCGUGGAGCAUGUGGCUUAAUUUGACUCAACGCGGGAAAUCUUACCGGGUCCGGACACACUGAGGAUUGACAGGUGUUUCGUUUUGAUAUAGCAUUCAUAUCAAUGCUGUGUAUGGUCAUGGAUUUUCGGAUCUUUGCUGUGUGCAGUAAUACAUGUGCUAUUAUACAAAACAAUUUCAAAUAUGCUAGUCCUUUCAUGAUUGUGUGAUAGGUGGUGCAUGGCCGUUCUUAGUUCGUGGAGUGAUCUGUCUGCUUAAUUGCGUUUCACUUAUGGCCACUAGUGUUUUAUAUUAAUACUGUGACCUCAUCGGUUUUUUUACAAAACGGUGAUUGCGUCCGGUAUGAUAUGCACUGUGAAAGCCUCGAAGGCAACGAACGUGACCGCAGCCUCUUGUUGCCUCCCUUGUGCAAACUGCAUCGUGGUUUCUGCAUAUUAUAUUUAAUUUUAUUUUAUGUGUUCUGCUUUCAGUUUUUUGCCACAGUUUUUUCUUUUUGUAUGUAUUAUCGUUUUUCAGUUCCUUGAAUGAAAGCACAUUGCAUUUUACUUUUGUUUUUAUGAUCAUUUAGAGUGUACACGUUAACGCGCGUAUAUUUCAACUUGGUUAUAUAUUUCAAUGUUUGGUGUUAUGUGUCGUUCACAGGGAUUCUGGGAAAUUUGUAUGUGCAUACAGCGAAUUAACCUGCAGUGGAGGGAAACUAGAGGGACCGCUGACUUUUUAUCUAACCAGAGGAAGGUUGCGGCAAUAACAGGUCUGUGAUGCCCUUAGAUGUUCCGGGCUGCACACGUGCUACAAUGAUUAUUGCAGUGAGCAUCUUACCCCAGUUCGUGGGCACAGCUUAUUUCGUUACACUGGUAUUUAAAGGGUAGUUUGUAUGUAUGAGGGUUUUCUCGAGUAUAUAUUUUCUACCUGUCAGUGUUAGCGGGCUGAUGCAUUUUACGACCAGGCUACUUCGAAAGUAAGUAGCUAAUCAAUUCGAAGUAAUGAUUUCCUUUGCAUAUCUCAUAUAUGUCCCGUAUCUUAUGGGUGUUUUCUCUUUUAGGGUUUACAUACCGUAUUAUAUGGUGGCAUGUGCUCCAUUAAUUCGUGGUGGGGACAGACCAUUGUUAAUUGUUGGUCUCGGUCUCAACUAGGAAUGCCUUGUACGGGUCUUUGGUUCAACAGACCACCCGGAAUAUGUCCCUGCCCUUUGUACACACCGCCCGUCGCUCUUACCGAUGGACUUCUCUGUGAGUUUGAGGGACUGGAAACUCCUUUCUAUGGAAACUUAAACGAACAGCGUGGUCUAGAGGAAAGAGAAGUCGAACAAGGCA
rnacentral:rRNA from 1 species